GCUAGUUACAGGCUUAACACAUGCAAGUCGAGGGGCAGCAUGGUCUUAGCUUGCUAAGGCCGAUGGCGACCGGCGCACGGGUGAGUAACACGUAUCCAACCUGCCGUCUACUCUUGGACAGCCUUCUGAAAGGAAGAUUAAUACAAGAUGGCAUCAUGAGUCCGCAUGUUCACAUGAUUAAAGGUAUUCCGGUAGACGAUGGGGAUGCGUUCCAUUAGAUAGUAGGCGGGGUAACGGCCCACCUAGUCUUCGAUGGAUAGGGGUUCUGAGAGGAAGGUCCCCCACAUUGGAACUGAGACACGGUCCAAACUCCUACGGGAGGCAGCAGUGAGGAAUAUUGGUCAAUGGGCGAGAGCCUGAACCAGCCAAGUAGCGUGAAGGAUGACUGCCCUAUGGGUUGUAAACUUCUUUUAUAAAGGAAUAAAGUCGGGUAUGGAUACCCGUUUGCAUGUACUUUAUGAAUAAGGAUCGGCUAACUCCGUGCCAGCAGCCGCGGUAAUACGGAGGAUCCGAGCGUUAUCCGGAUUUAUUGGGUUUAAAGGGAGCGUAGAUGGAUGUUUAAGUCAGUUGUGAAAGUUUGCGGCUCAACCGUAAAAUUGCAGUUGAUACUGGAUAUCUUGAGUGCAGUUGAGGCAGGCGGAAUUCGUGGUGUAGCGGUGAAAUGCUUAGAUAUCACGAAGAACUCCGAUUGCGAAGGCAGCCUGCUAAGCUGCAACUGACAUUGAGGCUCGAAAGUGUGGGUAUCAAACAGGAUUAGAUACCCUGGUAGUCCACACGGUAAACGAUGAAUACUCGCUGUUUGCGAUAUACAGCAAGCGGCCAAGCGAAAGCGUUAAGUAUUCCACCUGGGGAGUACGCCGGCAACGGUGAAACUCAAAGGAAUUGACGGGGGCCCGCACAGGCGGAGGAACAUGUGGUUUAAUUCGAUGAUACGCGAGGAACCUUACCCGGGCUUAAAUUGCAGAUGAAUUACGGUGAAAGCCGUAAGCCGCAAGGCAUCUGUGAAGGUGCUGCAUGGUUGUCGUCAGCUCGUGCCGUGAGGUGUCGGCUUAAGUGCCAUAACGAGCGCAACCCUUGUUGUCAGUUACUAACAGGUUCCGCUGAGGACUCUGACAAGACUGCCAUCGUAAGAUGUGAGGAAGGUGGGGAUGACGUCAAAUCAGCACGGCCCUUACGUCCGGGGCUACACACGUGUUACAAUGGGGGGUACAGAGGGCCGCUACCACGCGAGUGGAUGCCAAUCCCCAAAACCUCUCUCAGUUCGGACUGGAGUCUGCAACCCGACUCCACGAAGCUGGAUUCGCUAGUAAUCGCGCAUCAGCCACGGCGCGGUGAAUACGUUCCCGGGCCUUGUACACACCGCCCGUCAAGCCAUGGGAGCCGGGGGUACCUGAAGUGCGUAACCGCGAGGAGCGCCCUAGGGUAAAACUGGUGACUGGGGCU
rnacentral:rRNA from 1 species